rnacentral:tRNA from 1 species
UCCCUGAUGGUCCACUGGCUAAGACUUUGUUUUCCAAUGCAGGGUGCCCUGGUUCAAUCCCUGGUCAGGGAA